rnacentral:rRNA from 1 species
AUUGAACGCUGGCGGCAUGCCUUACACAUGCAAGUCGAACGGUAACGGGCCUUCGGGUGCCGACGAGUGGCGAACGGGUGAGUAAUGUAUCGGAACGUACCUUUCAGUGGGGGAUAACGUAGCGAAAGUUACGCUAAUAACACAUAUUCUGUGAGCAGGAAAGCAGGGGAUCGCAAGACCUUGCGCUGAUUGAGCGGCCGAUAUCAGAUUAGCUAGUUGGUGAGGUAAAGGCUCACCAAGGCGACGAUCUGUAGCGGGUCUGAGAGGAUGAUCCGCCACACUGGAACUGAGACACGGUCCAGACUCCUACGGGAGGCAGCAGUGGGGAAUUUUGGACAAUGGGGGCAACCCUGAUCCAGCCAUGCCGCGUGAGUGAAGAAGGCCUUCGGGUUGUAAAGCUCUUUCGGCCGGGAAGAAAUCGUAUCAGCUAAUACCUGGUGCGGAUGACGGUACCGGCAUAAGAAGCGCCGGCUAACUACGUGCCAGCAGCCGCAGUAAAAC